rnacentral:rRNA from 1 species
GUUAAGCGACUAAGCGUACACGGUGGAUGCCCUGGCAGUCAGAGGCGAUGAAGGACGUGCUAAUCUGCGAUAAGCGUCGGUAAGGUGAUAUGAACCGUUAUAACCGGCGAUUUCCGAAUGGGGAAACCCAGUGUGAUUCGUCACACUAUCAUUAACUGAAUCCAUAGGUUAAUGAGGCGAACCGGGGGAACUGAAACAUCUAAGUACCCCGAGGAAAAGAAAUCAACCGAGAUUCCCCCAGUAGCGGCGAGCGAACGGGGAGCAGCCCAGAGCCUGAAUCAGUGUGUGUGUUAGUGGAAGCGUCUGGAAAGGCGCGCGAUACAGGGUGACAGCCCCGUACACAAAAAUGCACAUGCUGUGAGCUCGAUGAGUAGGGCGGGACACGUGGUAUCCUGUCUGAAUAUGGGGGGACCAUCCUCCAAGGCUAAAUACUCCUGACUGACCGAUAGUGAACCAGUACCGUGAGGGAAAGGCGAAAAGAACCCCGGCGAGGGGAGUGAAAAAGAACCUGAAACCGUGUACGUACAAGCAGUGGGAGCACGCUUAGGCGUGUGACUGCGUACCUUUUGUAUAAUGGGUCAGCGACUUAUAUUCUGUAGCAAGGUUAACCGAAUAGGGGAGCCGAAGGGAAACCGAGUCUUAACUGGGCGUUAAGUUGCAGGGUAUAGACCCGAAACCCGGUGAUCUAGCCAUGGGCAGGUUGAAGGUUGGGUAACACUAACUGGAGGACCGAACCGACUAAUGUUGAAAAAUUAGCGGAUGACUUGUGGCUGGGGGUGAAAGGCCAAUCAAACCGGGAGAUAGCUGGUUCUCCCCGAAAGCUAUUUAGGUAGCGCCUCGUGAAUUCAUCUCCGGGGGUAGAGCACUGUUUCGGCAAGGGGGUCAUCCCGACUUACCAACCCGAUGCAAACUGCGAAUACCGGAGAAUGUUAUCACGGGAGACACACGGCGGGUGCUAACGUCCGUCGUGAAGAGGGAAACAACCCAGACCGCCAGCUAAGGUCCCAAAGUCAUGGUUAAGUGGGAAACGAUGUGGGAAGGCCCAGACAGCCAGGAUGUUGGCUUAGAAGCAGCCAUCAUUUAAAGAAAGCGUAAUAGCUCACUGGUCGAGUCGGCCUGCGCGGAAGAUGUAACGGGGCUAAACCAUGCACCGAAGCUGCGGCAGCGACGCUGAUGCGUUGUUGGGUAGGGGAGCGUUCUGUAAGCCUGUGAAGGUGUGCUGUGAGGCAUGCUGGAGGUAUCAGAAGUGCGAAUGCUGACAUAAGUAACGAUAAAGCGGGUGAAAAGCCCGCUCGCCGGAAGACCAAGGGUUCCUGUCCAACGUUAAUCGGGGCAGGGUGAGUCGACCCCUAAGGCGAGGCCGAAAGGCGUAGUCGAUGGGAAACAGGUUAAUAUUCCUGUACUUGGUGUUACUGCGAAGGGGGGACGGAGAAGGCUAUGUUGGCCGGGCGACGGUUGUCCCGGUUUAAGCGUGUAGGCUGGUUUUCCAGGCAAAUCCGGAAAAUCAAGGCUGAGGCGUGAUGACGAGGCACUACGGUGCUGAAGCAACAAAUGCCCUGCUUCCAGGAAAAGCCUCUAAGCAUCAGGUAACAUCAAAUCGUACCCCAAACCGACACAGGUGGUCAGGUAGAGAAUACCAAGGCGCUUGAGAGAACUCGGGUGAAGGAACUAGGCAAAAUGGUGCCGUAACUUCGGGAGAAGGCACGCUGAUAUGUAGGUGAAGUCCCUCGCGGAUGGAGCUGAAAUCAGUCGAAGAUACCAGCUGGCUGCAACUGUUUAUUAAAAACACAGCACUGUGCAAACACGAAAGUGGACGUAUACGGUGUGACGCCUGCCCGGUGCCGGAAGGUUAAUUGAUGGGGUCAGCGCAAGCGAAGCUCUUGAUCGAAGCCCCGGUAAACGGCGGCCGUAACUAUAACGGUCCUAAGGUAGCGAAAUUCCUUGUCGGGUAAGUUCCGACCUGCACGAAUGGCGUAAUGAUGGCCAGGCUGUCUCCACCCGAGACUCAGUGAAAUUGAACUCGCUGUGAAGAUGCAGUGUACCCGCGGCAAGACGGAAAGACCCCGUGAACCUUUACUAUAGCUUGACACUGAACAUUGAGCCUUGAUGUGUAGGAUAGGUGGGAGGCUUUGAAGUGUGGACGCCAGUCUGCAUGGAGCCGGCCUUGAAAUACCACCCUUUAAUGUUUGAUGUUCUAACGUUGACCCGUGAUCCGGGUUGCGGACAGUGUCUGGUGGGUAGUUUGACUGGGGCGGUCUCCUCCUAAAGAGUAACGGAGGAGCACGAAGGUUGGCUAAUCCUGGUCGGACAUCAGGAGGUUAGUGCAAUGGCAUAAGCCAGCUUGACUGCGAGCGUGACGGCGCGAGCAGGUGCGAAAGCAGGUCAUAGUGAUCCGGUGGUUCUGAAUGGAAGGGCCAUCGCUCAACGGAUAAAAGGUACUCCGGGGAUAACAGGCUGAUACCGCCCAAGAGUUCAUAUCGACGGCGGUGUUUGGCACCUCGAUGUCGGCUCAUCACAUCCUGGGGCUGAAGUAGGUCCCAAGGGUAUGGCUGUUCGCCAUUUAAAGUGGUACGCGAGCUGGGUUUAGAACGUCGUGAGACAGUUCGGUCCCUAU